GGAGUGGUCAAUCCCAUCUCGAUCACACUCUGACUUUGUAAGUACUUGACUGUGCCCAGAAGCCUUCCGUCCCUGAAUUAGAAAUUCAGUUAGUCCAGUACCAAAGCACAGUGAGUUGCUUGCAAGUCACUGAGACGAUCUCAAGUUUAAGGGACACUUAUACCUAUAUCCCAUCAGAGACAUUCUCGACAGCAGAAUGCUCUGGAGUUGAUCAUGUUCAAUGAUGAUGUACCCUUACAUCUCACCUGUAUGCCAUACCAGUGUCUCC
rnacentral:lncRNA from 1 species